rnacentral:rRNA from 1 species
GACGGAGGUCCCUAGCGUUGUUCGGAAUUAUUGGGCUUAAAGCGCGUGUAGGCGGAGCGGUAAGUACCUUGUGAAAUCCCCGGACUCAAUCCGGGAACUGCUCGGUAUACUGCCGUUCUCGAGGCAGGUAGGGGUCACUGGAACCUUAGGUGGAGCGGUGAAAUGCGUAGAUAUCUAAGGGAACGCCUGUGGCGAAAGCGGGUGACUGGGCCUGUCCUGACGCUGAGACGCGAAAGCGUAGGGAGCAAAC